CGAACGAAGCACAGAUGUAGAAUUUCUUCGGAAAGGAAGCGCCUGUGACUGAGUGGCGGACGGGUGAGUAACGCGUGGGCAACCUGCCCCAUACCGGGGGACAACAGCUGGAAACGGCUGCUAAUACCGCAUACGUUUUCGGUGCCGCAUGGCGCCGAAAAGAAAACUCCGGUGGUAUGGGAUGGGCCCGCGUCUGAUUAGCUAGUUGGGAGGGUAACGGCCUACCAAGGCGACGAUCAGUAGCCGGCCUGAGAGGGCGACCGGCCACAUUGGGACUGAGACACGGCCCAGACUCCUGCGGGAGGCAGCAGUGGGGAAUAUUGCACAAUGGGGGAAACCCUGAUGCAGCGACGCCGCGUGAGCGAAGAAGUGCCUCGGUAUGUAAAGCUCUAUCAGCAGGGAAGAAAGUGACAGUACCUGACUAAGAAGCCCCGGCUAACUACGUGCCAGCAGCCGCGGUAAUACGUAGGGGGCAAGCGUUAUCCGGAUUCACUGGGCGUAAAGGGAGCGCAGGCGGCGCGGCAAGUCUGAUGUGAAAGCCCGGGGCUCAACCCCGGGUCUGCAUUGGAAACUGUCGAGCUGGAGUGUCGGAGGGGUAAGCGGAAUUCCUAGUGUAGCGGUGAAAUGCGUAGAUAUUAGGAGGAACACCAGUGGCGAAGGCGGCUUACUGGACGAUGACUGACGUUGAGGCUCGAAAGCGUGGGGAGCAAAAAAGAUUAGAUACCCUGGUAGUCCACGCCGUAAA
rnacentral:rRNA from 1 species